CCCCUAGACGUUCUGGGCUGCACGCGCGCUACAAUAAUACGCACAGCGAGUAUCACCGAGCUCGAAAGGGCAAGGUAAACAAUAGAAAAGGUACUGUAAUGGUUAUAGAUCCUUGUAAUUAUUGAUCUUCAACGAGGAAUUCCUAGUAAGUAUGUGUCAUCAUCACGCACUGAUUACGUCCCUGCCCUUUGUACACACCGCCCGUCGCUCCUACCGAUUGAGUGAGCCGAUGAAACUGCCGGAUGUGGACUAUUCAUAGUCUGCAGAAGAUAUUUGAAUCGUAGCGCUUAGAGGAAGGGGAAGUCGUAACA
rnacentral:rRNA from 1 species